GCAAGUCGAGCGCACCCUUCGGGGUGAGCGGCGGACGGGUUAGUAACGCGUUGGAAUAUACCCGGUACUAAGGAAUAGCCUCUGGAAACGGAGAGUAAUACCUUAUACGCCCUUCGGGGGAAAGAGUUAUCGGUAUCGGAUGAGCCCGCGUUAGAGUAGUUAGUUGGUGGGGUAAUGGCCUACAAAGACGACGAUCUAUAGCUGGUUUGAGAGGAGGAGC
rnacentral:rRNA from 1 species